rnacentral:rRNA from 1 species
AACGACUCUCGGCAACGGAUAUCUCGGCUCUUGCAUCGAUGAAGAACGUAGCGAAAUGCGAUACUUGGUGUGAAUUGCAGAAUCCCGUGAACCAUCGAGUCUUUGAACGCAAGUUGCGCCCGAAGCCUUUUGGCUGAGGGCACGUCUAGCUGGGUGUCACGC